ACCUUAUCAUUUAGAGGAAGGAGAAGUCGUAACAAGGUUUCCGUAGGUGAACCUGCGGNAGGAUCAUUGUCGAUGCCUCGCAAUCAGUUUGACCGGCGAACUUGUUUAUCCAACCUGCAGGGUUGGCUCGGGGUGCCUUGGCAUCUCGCGUCCUCCCCUGCGCCGGGAGGGGGCCGCGCCCUGCUCGGCUUCCUCCCNGGCACANCACUCAAACCCCGGCGCUUCGUGCGCCAAGGAAUCCAAAUUUGUUCGGCGCGGCCCGGGGGACCCGGAGACGGUGUUCCCGUGGGCCUGGCCACGACACAACGAAAAAGAACGACUCUCGGCAACGGAUAUCUCGGCUCUUGCAUCGAUGAAGAACGUAGCGAAAUGCGAUACUUGGUGUGAAUUGCAGAAUCCCGUGAACCAUCGAGUCUUUGAACGCAAGUUGCGCCCGAAGCCAUUAGGCCGAGGGCACGCCUGCCUGGGUGUCACACAUCGUUACCCUCGCGCCAACGUCCGUCGUUGGCCGCGGCGCGGGGCGUGUGCUGACCUCCCGCGAGCGGGGCCUCGUGGUUGGUUGAAAAUCGAGUUCGCGGUCGGGCGUGCCGUGAUAAAAUGGUGGACGGGCGACGCCCGAGUCCAAUCACGCGCGACCCUGUCCGGCUUGGACUCCUGGACCCCUUCGGCGUCUCCGGACGCUCCUUAGCGAGACCUCAGGUCAGGCGGGGCUACCCGCUGAGUUUAAGC
rnacentral:misc_RNA from 1 species